GAUGAACGCUAGCGGGAGGCCUAACACAUACAAGCCGAGCGGUAUUUGUCCUUCGGGACAGAGAGAGCGGCGUACGGGUGCGGAACACGUGUGCAACCUGCCUUUAUCUGGGGGAUAGCCUUUCGAAAGGAAGAUUAAUACCCCAUAAUAUAUCGAAUGGCAUCAUUCGAUAUUGAAAACUCCGGUGGAUAGAGAUGGGCACGCGCAAGAUUAGAUAGUUGGUGAGGUAACGGCUCACCAAGUCAGUGAUCUUUAGGGGGCCUGAGAGGGUGAUCCCCCACACUGGUACUGAGACACGGACCAGACUCCUACGGGAGGCAGCAGUGAGGAAUAUUGGACAAUGGGUGAGAGCCUGAUCCAGCCAUCCCGCGUGAAGGACUAAGGCCCUAUGGGUUGUAAACUUCUUUUAUACUGGGAUAAACCUACUUACGUGUAAGUAGCUGAAGGUACAGUAUGAAUAAGCACCGGCUAACUCCGUG
rnacentral:rRNA from 1 species